AUGCUUACUUUGACUACUGGGGCAAAGGCACACAAGUGACCGUCACAAGUAGCCCUACCAAAGCACCAGCAGUCUUUAUGAUGUCUGAUUGUAGUUCCUCUGGUCCUCGAUUGCUUGGCUGUCUGGCCUCUGACUUUUCCCCUGAAGAAUCAGUCAGUUUCAAAUGGAUAGAUCAGAGUGGAAAAACUCUGACUGACUUUGUCCAGUAUCCUACAGUAAAAAUUAAUGAAAAAAUGCUGAAACUCAGUCACAUCACUGUUACCAAAGAGACACUGAAAAAAAGUAUAACAUGUCAAGCAAUACACCCUUCGAAAACAGAAAACAAAACAUUCAUAAAAGCACAAGCACCAACUGUGAGCGUGAUUCCCGUUACAACUCAGAAAAGUACAUCUGUCAUGUGUGUUAUUGAGGACUACUACCCAAAAGGCAUCACUGUACAAUGGAAACUAAAUAAUGACAUAUUGCAGCAACAGACAGAAAUGGAGUACAAACAAAAUGAAGAUACACGUCUUUACACAGCACUGAAUCUUUAUAAAGUCAACAGUGAGACAUGGAACAAACACAUUGACUAUACCUGUGAGGUCACACACAUGGGCCAAGUUCAACUUGAUACGAAAAACUUCAAAGCUACAAUGACACUGACUCUGAAGACACCAAUACAGAGAGAAUUAUUUGUCCACAAUAAAGUAAUCUUGCAGGCUGUUAUUUCUGGAAAUGAACGCAACUCAGUGCAAAGUGCUUCAGUGUCAUGCAAAAUGGAGAAUAAAGCAAUAACAUUACAAAAAGGUGUUGUUCAAUCUCCUAAGGACAUUUCAGAGUUUCAGAAAAUUCACAAUGUAACUGUUGAUACAGAGAAGUGGUUUAAAGGUGAACAGGUCACCUGUAGCAUCAGUGACAAAAACAUCAAGAAGGAGAUCUAUUUUAAUAAAGGAGAUGCAAAUACACCAAAUAUUACCCUUUAUGAACAAAACGUUAACAACACUGAUCCUACACGUGUGUCUUUGGUCUGUGAGGUCACCAGUCCUAAACUUGGUGAUGUCUAUAUCAUGUGGACAGAAGGUAAUGGAGACUAUAUAGAGGGUUAUACCAGUGCUCCAAUCCGUCAAAAGGACUCCACAUCUGUCGUCAGCAUUUAUGAAGUAUCUAAAGAAGAGUUAGCUAAAAACACAAUCUCCUGUGCAGUCAAACAUGCCAACAUGAAGGGAGAAAAGCCAACACCAAAAUCAACAAGCCAAAAUGAGCCUCCAGAACCUGAGACAGGCUUUGCAUUGCACUGCAAUGAAGAUGUUUUAGAGGAGGAUGAGUUCAGAAGUCUCUGGUCUACUGCCACAUCAUUCAUCUUCCUCUUCCUCUUUUCUCUGACUUACGGCGCUUUACUCAGUCUGUCUAAGAUAAAACAGUGAAAUUAAAAAAGAAAAUGAUGACUAAGAGAAAGCAUGACCCGCAUGUGUUUGUGUGUCUGUACUUGUCUAAAUAAAAUUUCAGGUAGGCUUGUGCAUUUUUCACGAAUAUAGUAACUCUAAAAUAUAAAAAAAUCUAACUAUAAACUAUCUCUAAAUAAUCAUCCACCUGACAUGGGCUAUGAAAAAUGCGGUAGACUUGAGGUAUUUAUUUGACUAAAACCUCCCAAUGGUAUACCAGAGUUGUUUCCAAGAGUCAAAAUUAGAUCAGCGAAAGAUCUUUCUUAGUAUUUAGGCCCUCUUUCUUCCUCUUUGUUCUCACACCUGCAGAACUGAAACUGUGUUUACACUGAUGGUUAAUCUUCUUAGAAAGCUUUGAAUGUUUACUGCAUUUUUACAGUGUCUCCUUAAGUAAAGCAUACAUGCAAGAAGGUAGACAAUGUAUUUCUUCUCAACGUAAGUGAAACUGAAUCACUGUUGUUAAUACACUCUUGUAUAUUAAAAUAU